rnacentral:rRNA from 1 species
GACGAACGCUGGCGGCGUGCUUAACACAUGCAAGUCGAACGAUGAACCCGGAGCUUGCUCCGGCGGAUUAGUGGCGAACGGGUGAGUAACACGUGAGUAACCUGCUCUUGACUCUGGGAUAACUGCGGGAAGCUGUAGCUAAUACCGGAUACGACCCUCGGCGGCAUCGCCAGGGGGUGGAAAGAAUUUCGGUCAAGGAUGAACUCGCGGCCUAUCAGCUAGUUGGUGAGGUAACGGCUCACCAAGGCGACGACGGGUAGCCGGCCUGAGAGGGUGACCGGCCACACUGGGACUGAGACACGGCCCAGACUCCUACGGGAGGCAGCAGUGGGGAAUAUUGCACAAUGGGCGCAAGCCUGAUGCAGCAACGCCGCGUGAGGGAUGACGGCCUUCGGGUUGUAAACCUCUUUUAGUAGGGAAGAAGCGAAAGUGACGGUACCUGCAGAAAAAGCACCGGCUAACUACGUGCCAGCCGCCGCGGUAA